AUUUACUAGUUAUUAGUCUAUAGAACCCAACAGCCAAGCGGCUGGGUUUCUUUUGGGUAAUCCAACAGAUCUUUCAUUAUUAUUUUAGUUUUUUUAUUUUUUAAUAUUUUUGUUCUAAUCCUUUCUGGUUUAUAUACUCAAAUGGUUGUUAUAAAUAAUAACUAGUCAUAAGUGGUCUGGUGGAGAGGGGUGGUUUCUAUGGUUUUUGGUGGAGUGGGUUCGAUACCUAUGCGUAGUAUUUUUACUUCUUUUAACAUUUUCUUUUAUGUUUAUGCUUUAUUAUAUUCAUAGUUUCAUUAUCCUAAC
rnacentral:lncRNA from 1 species